AUGACGUCGUGGAAACGCUUCGUGAAGGCCCGUAUGGUGGCUGUGUCCUCCCCGAGCGCCGCCGCCUGCGCCGAGAGCGCCGCCGCCUACUUCAAGAGUGCCGCCGCAUCCGCACUGAGCGCGGCCGCAUCCGCCGAGAGGGCAGCAGCAGCAGCCGAGACGACUUCAAACACCGAGAACACUCGAGCUGCCAUUUGUGCCGCCGAUGUCGCCCUAGCCCGGGUCGAGGCCAUCCACGCCAAGAUCGAGGACGCACACGCCAAAAUAUUUCAAGCCACCUCGGAAUCCAGCAUGCAACCCACGUCCGAAAAGGUGACGGUGGCCAUGGAGCACCUGCUUCCUCAUGAGAUCGUCGAGCGGGAGCCGAAGAUGCAGGAGGCAGAGGAGAUUGAGGAGCGCCGGGAGGAGGAGCUGCGCGUGGCCGAGGUCGAGGUAGAGAAGAGUCCGUUCAUCGAGGAAUUGGCGGUGGAGUACCAACGCGAGCUCUGGCGCAGCCACUACUACGAGUACUACAACCUUAAGGGCGGUGCCGAGGAUGAGGACGAGGACGCGGUUGACUUCAGCAGGGGGGACGCGGAGUCCACCAAUGGCGGCAUGUCGCUGAUACAUCUCCAACGUAUCUAUAAUUUUUGA
rnacentral:rRNA from 1 species